ensembl:lncRNA
AACUCACCAGUCCUGUAGGUCAUUCACCGUUCAUAAUCACCCACCAUGAUGAUACAUCCGGCCAGUGCUCAGCUGCCACUAUGAGCCAGAUUGUAACGUACUCUAACCAUGGGCCAUUCAGUUCCUCGAUCCACAUAUUGAGAAAUCACGCACUGUUCUGUUAAUAUAAAUAUGAUUAUACGCCUAUGACGUUUUUUCCCCCUAUAACUGCAAACAUCCCAAUACAAGUGACCGUGCUGGGAAACCGAAUAGAAAUGCACCAAAAUAAGAUCUAUGAUUUGUCAAAAACAUUGACUCCAUUGUCAAAUUAAAUUUCAGGACCCAGGUAAAGAAAAAAUAUUGUAAAACAUACAUUUAAGAAUGAGUUUAGUGCUACGCAUAUUACAUUUUAUGUAUGUACAUGUGUCUACUUGAACAACCUGUUUCUGCCCCUCGGCAAGACCAUGGACCUGUAUGCAAGCGCUUCACUUAAGAGGAGGCUCGUGGACUCUCGGCAUGUGUACGGGUUGCAGAAGCGCGAAUGCUGCACAGACGUACUCUUAUGUAAACUUCAGCGAGCCGUCUCCAUGCAUGGAAAAUGAAUUGGGACGUUCUGUCGUAACCUCCAAGAGAGUCCUGCGCUACGGUCUGUGGCAGGACCUUAUCCGGUCACCCGCAUAACUUCACUGUAGCCUAUGGCUGUGUACCGUGAACGAGAAAGUCUAGAUUUACCGGCGUGAUCGCUAAUCUCAUAUAGUGAUUUAUUUUCACACGCCUUUAUUCUACACCCACUGCACAAGACCCACGGGCAAUAUCUAUCUUCUAUCAAACACAUUUCAAUGUGUGACUUUAAACUUGGACGUAGCUUCUUAUUUAGCUUAUUUUAAAAAAUCGGUUUCAGUGACUUACCUGGUCUGGUCUGAUUUCACAAUCCCAUCGCCCUUGAGCCAGACCCAAACUUUGUCUUCAAAUAUCCAAACUUGGUGAGCGGGUCAAUCAACGAUGGACUUGCCGAGGACAAAGACAAAAAAAACCGCAUUCAGCCUUCUUCAGCCUCUAACGCCCAACAGAUUCCAGCGUUAAACACAGCGCAUCACCCACGGACACAGGCACACACACACACGCUCACACAUUCAAACACACUGCGUAACCCAGCAUUGCGUGGGGGAUCAGUGGCGGUGAAAACGCGACAGCGUCUGACACGUAGGAGUUCGGCUGGUGGCAAGCACACUGUAUGUCGGCAGCAGCAACAGCAGCAGCAGUAGCGCCGGAUUGUACCACUCUUCCUUGGCACGCACGGCCGCGGGGAUGUCAGUAACUCCCGAAGCGGAGCAAUGCGUGUGUGCUCGUGGGUGGGUGUAUAUGAGAGUGAGAGCAAGACUGAGACGCAGAGUAUAUGAGAGUGAGAGGUAGCAGAGACGCAGUUGCCGGUGAGCGGGUAUUGUGUAGGU